GACGAACGCUGGCGGCGUGCCUAACACAUGCAAGUCGACCUUAGUGGCGGACGGGUGCGGAACACGUGGGUAACCUAGCCAGAAGAGGGGGAUAACACUUGGAAACAGGUGCUAAUCGCGCCUAUUGGUGGAUGGACGCGCGGGGGAUUAGCUAGUUGGAGGGGUAACGGCUCACCAAGGCCACGAGGCUGACCAGGUGGGAGAGUGUGUUCGGCACCACUGGAACGUAGACACGGUCCAGACGCCUACGGGAGGCAGCAGUGGGGAAUAUGGUACAAUGGGCGAAAGCCUGAUCCAGCCGUGCCGCGUGUGUGAAGAAGGUCUUCGGGUUGUAAAGCACUUUUAGCUGGGAGGCGUUACCAGCAGAAUAAGCACCGGCUAACUUCGUGCCAGCAGCCGCGGUAAUUC
rnacentral:rRNA from 1 species